rnacentral:rRNA from 1 species
AUUGAACGCUGGCGGCAUGCCUUACACAUGCAAGUCGAACGGUAACAGGUCUUCGGAUGCUGACGAGUGGCGAACGGGUGAGUAAUACAUCGGAACGUGCCUAGUAGUGGGGGAUAACUACUCGAAAGAGUGGCUAAUACCGCAUGAGAUCUACGGAUGGAAGCAGGGGAACGCAAGACCUUGUGCUACUAGAGCGGCCGAUGGCAGAUUAGGUAGGUGGUGGGAUAAAAGCUUACCAAGCCGACGAUCUGUAGCUGGUCUGAGAGGACGAUCAGCCACACUGGGAAGGGGAAACGGCCCAGACUCCUACGGGAGGCAGCAGUGGGGAAUUUUGGACAAUGGGCGCAAGCCUGAUCCAGCAAGGCCGCGUGCAGGAUGAAGGCCUUCGGGUUGUAAACUGCUUUUGUACGGAACGAAAAGCCCCGGGUUAAUACCCUGGGGUCAUGACGGUACCGUAAGAAUAAGCACCGGCUAACUACGUGCCAGCCGCCGCCGUAA